CCCAGACUCCUACGGGAGGCAGCAGUGGGGAAUAUUGCACAAUGGGGGAAACCCUGAUGCAGCGACGCCGCGUGAGUGAAGAAGUAUUUCGGUAUGUAAAGCCCUAUCGGCAGGGAAGAAGCAAGACGGUACCUGACUAAGAAGCCCCGGCUAACUACGUGCCAGCAGCCGCGGUAAUACGUAGGGGGCGAGCGUUAUCCGGAUUCACUGGGUGUAAAGGGAGCGUAGACGGCCAUGCAAGCCAGGGGUGAAAGCCCGGGGCCCAACCCCGGGACUGCCCUUGGAACUGCAUGGCUGGAGUGCGGGAGGGGCAGGCGGAAUUCCUGGUGUAGCGGUGAAGUGCGUAGAUAUACGGAGGAACACCAGUGGCGAAGGCGGAUUGCUGGACAGUAACUGACGCUGAGGCGCGAAAGCGUGGGGAGCAAACAGGAUUAGAUACCCUUGUAG
rnacentral:rRNA from 1 species